AUCCAAUAUCUUAGACACCCAAUAAUUGAACUUCAAUGAAUCUAAUUUAUUUAGGUUAUUAGUAGAUAAUUAAGUUUAAAUUAUCUUAUCAAAUAAGAAAUCAAAAUAUAAAGAAAAAAUUGAGUCCAAUCAUGUGCUAGCAAGGUUGUCUUGAAUCCAAUCGAAUUUCUCUAAACCCAAUGGACACUUCAUAAGUUCAAUUGAUAAUUUCAAGCCUAAUCUCUUUAUUGUGUGAUCCCAUAGGUUUCAUUCAAUCUAGUAGUGAGAUAUACAAUGAUCUCUAUCAAAGUAUCAUUG
rnacentral:lncRNA from 1 species